GGGCCCUUAGCUUAGUCCGGUUAGAGCACCCGGCUCAUAACCGGGCGGUCGGUGGUUCAAAUCCGCCAGGGCCCA
rnacentral:tRNA from 1 species